rnacentral:rRNA from 1 species
UUAGGAAUAUUCGUCAAUGGAGGGAACUCUGAACGAGCAAUGCCGCGUGAAGGAUGACGGUCCUUUGGAUUGUAAACUUCUGUUGUUAGGAACGAAAAACUUAAGUAGGAAAUGACUUAAGCUUGACGGUACCUUUCAAGAAAGCUCCGGCUAACUACGUGCCAGCAGCCGCGGUAAUACGUAGGGAGCGAGCGUUAUCCGGAUUUAUUGGGUGUAAAGCGUGUGUAGGCGGUUACUUAAGUCUGUGGUCUAAGCCUGGAGCUCAACUCCAGUUCGCCAUGGAAACUGAGUUACUUGAGUAUGGUAGAGGCAAGUGGAAUUUCUAGUGUAGCGGUGGAAUGCGUAGAUAUUAGAAGGAACACCAGUGGCGAAGGCGGCUUGCUGGGCCAUUACUGACGCUGAGACACGAAAGCGUGGGGAGCAAAUAGG